UGACCGUGAGAGAUAGCUAGCUAGCUCCAUCAGGAAAGCACCGCCUGCGCGACAAGAGGAAGAGGAAGAGGGACAAGCAUCAAUGGCUGGUGGUGACCAACCAGCUGCCGUGAUCGGCUUCGUCUUCGGCUUGGCUUGGUGGCGGCCGUGAUCGGGCUCGUUGCCGCCACCAGCAACCCGGGAGACUUCCAGUCGCAGAUCGGGCACUCUGCCACGGAGGCGGAGGCGCUGCGCCUGCGCGCGGCGGCGCUCGCCCUGGUGCUCCUCGGCGUAGCUCAGGCCAUGACGGCCGCGGCGGCCGUCGUGGUCCUGGCGGGGGGUUCCCUCACAUUUCUGGGCCGGCGCCUCGUCGCCAGCGCGCUCGUCGUCGCUGCCACCAAUACCUACCUUCUUUUCCGAGUCGUCUACAUGGUGGCAGUCGUCGCCGGCGGGCAGAGCGCCGGCGGGAACGUCCUCGACCUCUGGACCCAAAUCUCCAUCGCCUGCUCCUUCUUCUCCUUCUUCUGCGCCAGCCUCGCCGCCACCCUGGCUGGGCCUAAUUAACCUCGCCGGCCGUCACCUUUAGCGUAAAUAAGCUGGCCUUGUAGCGUGAGUUGUGUUCACGUCUCUGCCGCAGAUCGACCUCUCUCUUUGCAUGUACGUAGAGCCAUAAGCUAAGCUAAGCUAGGAGCCCCCUCUAGCCUAGCUUAAGUUUGCCAGCUCGCAGCAUCGAUCUAUCUUCUUCUACGGUUCUACUACUACCAAGCAACACUACAUGCAUGGAUCUUUAGUGAUUAUAAUUGGCAUAAUUACUAGUAGUACAUUAUUAGUGUGAUGAUCAAGAUGGGCUUAACUAUUGGAACGUGUGUGUAUCUGCGA